GUGUGUGUGUGUGUGUGUGUGUGUUUCUUUGUGGCUGAUUGGCUGCUCUCCCUGUGCAAAGGUCAGAGGGGGCAGGGUUUCUGUUGAGGCAGGUGAUUAGCUGUGGGAGGAGCUUAUCAGAGCCUGCAAGGCAGCAGUUGAAGAAGGAGCAAAAAGGGUGUUCUUGUGUGUGUGUGUUUCUUUGUGGCUGAUUGGCUGCUCUCCCUGUGCAAAGGUCAGAGGGGGCAGGGUUUCUGUUGAGGCAGGUGAUUAGCUGUGGGAGGAGCUUAUCAGAGCCUGCAGGGCAGCAGUUGAAGAAGGAGCAAAGGGUGUUCUUGUGUGUGUGUGUGUGUGUGUGUGUGUGUGUGUUUCUUUGUGGCUGAUUAGCUGUUCUCCCUGUGCAAAGGUCAGAGGGGGCAGGGUUUCUGUUGAGGCAGGUGAUUAGCUGUGGGAGGAGCUUAUCAGAGCUUGCAGGGCAGCGGCGCACGCAGUUUGAUCCAUCUUUUAGAUUUAGGGGAGCUAGUCUCAAACGUUUGAUGGGGAGACCUAGGUUUUUUGUGGAGGGAGUUAUUUUUCCUGUCUUCACGCUUUUUAUGAUGGAGGACCGCUGUAGCCACCCCCAACGACACGUUCUCAAGAUGGAGGGGAGGGAACAGCUGCAGUCGCCUGCGGUUCCUGCGCAAUGUUUGCCAUCUUGCCAAAGGUUGCAGGCAGCUUUACCUGCAGCAAUUGCAUGUUGAUUGCCCUCUUAAAAGACAAAGUCCAGCAACUUGAGGAACGUGUAGCUACGCUCCAAAGAAUUAGAGAGCUGGAGCUCUUCUUGGAAGCAACAGAGCACACCGUCUCCACCAAGGAGGAGACAGGGGACUCCCCUGAGAAGGACGCUAGUUCACCAACACAGGAGCCAGAUAUAUGGAGAAACGUGACUCAAAGAAGUAGGAGGCCCAGGGUUCGCUCUGAUUGUUUAGAAAUACACAAUCGCUUUGAGGUCCUCUCCCCUAGCAUGGAAGACGAAGAGCAGACUCCAUUUGAGGAUCUCUCCUCAUUACAGUCGAUCAGGUAUAUGAAGACGAGCAGCAAAGUCAGUACUCAGGGAAUGUGCAGGCGACCUUGGAGCGGACAGCUCACAGAAGAACCCCGACCAAACCUAAGAGGAGGCGUGUAGUGGUGAUAGGGGAUUCCCUACUGAGGGGAACAGAAGCAGUGAUCUGUGGGCCUGACAAGAUGUCUCGGGAAGUGUGCUGUCUCCCCGGGCUAAGAUCCAAGAUGUAACUGAACGACUGCAAGGAAUCAUAAAACCCACUGACAAAUACCCCUUCCUCUUGGUUCAUGUGGGAACCAAUGACACUGCAAGCAAUAGCCUCCAGAAGAUCAAAAGAGACUACGAGGCUCUGGGCAGGAAAUUGAAGCAAUUAAAUGCACAAAUUGUCAUCUCAUCUGUCCUCCCAGUUGAACGACAUGGCCCAGGAGAGAGGGGAAAAUACUGGAAGUGAACAGCUGGCUUCGCAAAUGGUGUAAACAGGAACGGUUUGGAUUCUUAGAUCACGGACUGCAGUUUCUUGAAGAUGGGCUUCUGGCAAGCGAUGGGCUGCACCUCACAACGGUUGGGAGAAAUGUUUUUGCCAAAAAUCUCAGAAACCUCAUCAGGAGGGCUUUAAACUGACUAAUGUGGGGGAGGGAGACAGUGCUCCUGAAGGUAGGAGUCUAUCAAUUGAUGAAGAUGAUCAUCCAAAUGUCAUAGACCAAAUGGAGCAAACAGCACACAGACCUAGUGGUGGGAGGAAAAAAUCCUUAAAUAAGAGUCACGGGGGGAUGAUUAAUGGACUUCAGUGUCUGUACACUAAUGCGCAAAGCAUGGGAAAUAAACAAGAUGAGCUGGAGCUCUUGGUACAGCAAACUAAAUAUGACAUAAUAGGCAUCACUGAAACCUGGUGGGAUAAGUCCCACGAUUGGAAUGUAAUAAUGGGGGGAUACAAUCUAUUUCAGAGAAACAGACCAGACAAGAAAGGAGGAGGAGUGGCGUUAUAUGUCAGGGAUGUGUAUACCUGUGAAGAGAUCCAAGAUUUAGAACCUCAAAGCCAAAGUGAGAGCAUUUGGGUCAAAAUUAAGGGAGAGAAGAAUAACAGUGACCUCAUUGUGGGAGUUUACUAUAGAUCCCCAAGCCAAACGGAGGACAUAGAUGAUGCCUUCCUGGAACAGAUGGCCAAGCAUGCAAAAGGAAGGGAGAUAGUAGUAAUGGGGGACUUCAAUUACCCGGAUAUUUGUUGGAUGUCAAACUCAGCCAAGAGCAUAAGGUCAAACAGAUUUCUCACUGGCCUUGCAGACAACUUCAUUGUCCAGAAAGUGGGAGAAGCAACAAGAGGAACAGCCAUUUUAGAUCUGGUCCUAACCAAUGUUGAUGACCUGGUUAGUGGGGUAGAAGUGGAAGGAUCAUUAGGCGCGAGUGAUCAUGCUCUUCUGAAGUUUACUAUACAGCGGAAAGGAGCAGCCAAGCAUACUAGGACUCAAUUUCUUGACUUUAAGAAAGCUGACUUCAUAAAACUUAGGGAAGUGCUGGGUGAGAUCCCAUGGACAGUAAUACUAAAAGGAAAGGGAGUUCAUGAUGGCUGGGAGUUUGUUAAGAGGGAGAUACUAAAAGCACAACGUCAGGCAAUACCAAUGAGACGGAAACAUGGAAGGUGCCUAAAGAAGCCAGGGUGGCUAUCUAAAGAACUUUUAACUGAGUUAAGAUUAAAAAGGAUGUGUACAAAAAUGGAAAAGGGGGAAACCACCAAAGAGGAAUUCAAACAAAUAGCCAGCACGUGUAGACACAAAGUCAGAAAAGCUAAAGCACAGAAUGAACUCAGGCUUGCUAGAGAGGUUAAAAGCAACAAAAAGGCUUUUAUGGGUAUGUCCGUAGC